rnacentral:rRNA from 1 species
GAUUCUGGCUCAGGAUGAACGCUAGCUACAGGCUUAACACAUGCAAGUCGAGGGGUAGCAGGGUAGCAAUACCGCUGACGACCGGCGCACGGGUGAGUAACACGUAUCCAACCUUCCCAUAACUCAGGGAUAGCCUUUCGAAAGAAAGAUUAAUACCUGAUAGUACUUUUUCAAGGCAUCUUGAAAAAGUUAAAGAUUUAUCGGUUAUGGAUGGGGAUGCGUUCCAUUAGAUAGUUGGUGAGGUAACGGCUCACCAAGUCUUCGAUGGAUAGGGGUUCUGAGAGGAAGGUCCCCCACAUUGGUACUGAGACACGGACCAAACUCCUACGGGAGGCAGCAGUGAGGAAUAUUGGUCAAUGGGCGAGAGCCUGAACCAGCCAAGUAGCGUGAAGGAAUGAAGGUCCUAUGGAUUGUAAACUUCUUUUAUAGUAGAAUAAAGUGAGCCACGUGUGGUUUUUUGUAUGUAUACUAUGAAUAAGGAUCGGCUAACUCCGUGCCAGCCGCUGC